rnacentral:tRNA from 1 species
AAUAAAGUGCCUGAUAAAAAGGAUUAUUCUGAUAGGAUAAAUUAUGUAGUUUUCUACCUUUAUUA